UCACUGAUACAGAAUAGGGUGACCGGAUAGCAACUGUGAUAAAACAGGACAGGGGAUGGGGGGUAAUAGGCGCCUAUAUAAGAAAAAGCCCCCCAAAAUGGGACUGUCCCUAUGAAAACGGGACAUCUGGUCAC